UCAAUGAUUGUUAUAAUUUGUAAUGAAAUACAAAAGUGUAGUGUAACCAAUGGAUUUGAGCGGUUAUGUAUUUAAAGACGUAUAGGUAUGACGAAACUAUUUACAUUGAGAAAUAUUUCAUGCUUUGAAAUGUAAGUUUCUUAUAAGGGAAACCUAGAACUAGAAAUAUUGUAUAACCUGGCGAACUGAAACAUCUUAUUAGCCAGAGGCAAAACAAAUCAAAUAGAGAUUCUGUAAUUAACGGUGAGUAAACGCAGAUAAGACCUUUAAGCUUUUAAUUAUGAACAAACUGAGUAUAAUUCAGACCGUAGGUUGGUUCAAGUCCCGUUUUUUUGUAAUAAACUAUAAGCUUAAUGAGUAAAAUGAUGCAGGAUUUGUUCAUUUGAAAGAGGGAGUCCAUCUUCCAAGUCUGAAAUAUGAAUACAUAAACCGAUAGUGAACAAAGUACCGUGAGGGAAAAAUGAAAAGAAAUAAAAGUGAAAUAGAAUUUGAAAUUGGUUACUUUAGAAGCAAUUAUUCUUUAAAAGAAUAAUGUACCUUUUGCAUAAUGGGUCAACAAAUUGAAUAAAAUAGCAAUUUGUAUAGAAGUAAUGAAAGUAAUUCCCUAACGGGGAAUGGAGUUGUUUUAUUCAAACUCGAAACCGAGUGAUCUAGUUAUGAACAAAUUGAAGAUAUUUUAAAAACGUAUCGGAGGAUUGCACCCGUGUAUGUAGCAAUAUACUGGGAAGAUUUGUAGCUAGGGGUGAAAGGCUAAUCAAACUCGGAUAUAGCUAGUUUUCUACGAAAUCUAUUGAGGUAGUUUGGUAAUAAAAGAUUGAAGUGGGUAUAGCACUUACCAAUUGAGGGGGGUUAAUAGCCUUACCAAUGUUGGUUAAACUAAAAAUAAUUUCAAAUUGUUAAUUACCAAGCAGAAUAUAGGCGCAAAGGUCUAUUUUUUCAAAAGGGAAACAGCCCAGACCUUCGGCUAAAGUCCAUAAAAAAAUUUGAGUGUAAAAAAAGAAUUUUGGAUGAUUAGAAUUGGCAAGUUGGCUUAGAAGCAGCCAUCCUUUAAAGAAAGCGUAACAGCUCGUCAAUCCUAGAAUUUAAAUAAUUCUGAAAAUGUAACAGGACUAAGAUUUUUACUUAAGCUAAGGUUGCUUUGAUUAUAAAAUUAAGUAGAGGCAAGGUAGUAGAACGAUCAUUAAAGAGAUGUAUUUCCGAUAGGAAAAGUAUAUGGUGUGAUAAUGUUGACACGAGUAACGUUUAGGUUGGUGAAGAACAACCUCAUCAAAUAUGUAAGGAUUCCGAUGUAAAGUAACUUUCAUCGGGUUAGUCGGUCCCUAAUAGUUCUCUAUUUAUAAAAUAAGACUAGAUGGGUUAUUGGUUAGGCAACUAUGGGUUUGGAUUUAGUGUUCUAUCACUAAGUGCCCGUGUUAAUAAUAAAAUGUUUGACCUUUUGAGAAAAGUGACUUUUUAUUUAUUCAUGUUUACUAAACUAAUUGCUUACGUGGCUAAAUAAAUACUAGAAAAAGCUGUCUCAUAAAAAAAACCGUACUUAAAGCCGACACAGGUAUUUUGAUAGAGUAUAUUAAGAUGAUUAAAAGAACAACGCUGAAGGAACUCGGCAAAUUGACUCCGUAACUUCGGGAAAAGGGGUGCUUGCAUAGAGUUAAUCUAUGUGUGCGUAACAGAAUAGGGGGUAGCGACUGUUUAAUAAAAACACAGGACUCUGCUAAAUUGAAAAAUGAUGUAUAGAGUCUGACAUCUGCCCGGUACCAUUAGAUAAACAAACGAGUUAUUGCUUGUGAGUAAAGGAUUGGUGAACGGCGGCUGUAACCAUAACGGUCCUAAGGUAGCGAAAUUCCCUGUCGGGUAAACAAAGGAACUUGCCCGAUUGGUGCAGUAAUGCAUCACAUGUAAACUGGCUAAUAACGGAAAAACUCUGCUAUGUGUAGAUGAUUCCGUGGGAAACCGAAAGGUACCCGUAACGACUGACUCGAAAGAGGAGAUUUUUCUAAAAAGAAGAAUAAUACGCCAGCUCCCGAUUUUUGAAAACUAUACUAUGAAGUAAAUUUUAUAAAUAAUUCUUUCUUAUUACCGAAAAAAAUGAAAAUAAAUAAUAAACAAUUAAAGAUUGAUCCUUUUUGAGUAAGUGGGUUUGUUGAUGGUGAAGGAUGUUUUUGUGUUAGUUUAAAUUUUCGUGAAAAGUUAACAGUAGGCCUUGAAGUUCGUCCGAGCUUUAGUAUUUCGCAACGAAAAGACAAAGACGGGCUUAAUUUUCAAUGUCUAGACCAAAUUAGACAAUAUUUUGGUUGUGGGAGUCUCAGGUUUGACAAACAUGAUGGUACGUGAAAAUAUGAAACGCGUAACUUUGAUGCGUUAAAGUAUAAUAUAAUACCGCAUUUUGUAAAGUAUCCACUAAGAACGAAGAAACAAAUUGAUUUUACAUUUUUUUGCCAAAUUAUCGAACUGAUGUCGAAAAAGGAGCACCUGAAUUAUAAGGGUUUAUCCGAGAUUAUUGAGCGGGUUUAUGAGCUUAAUCAAGGAAAGCGCAAAGUAAGUAAGGCAGCGUUGUUAAAAUUUAUUUAUAAAAGAAUUUCUAAGGUAUAGUAUCGGGAUGAUGAAAUAGUCUAAACUUCCUUGUGAAAGGAAGAGUAAGUUGAUUUUGAAGUUCCGACCUGCAUGAAUGAUGUAACGACUUCCCCACUGUCUCCAGUGUUGCUUUAGUGAAACUGAAUUUGUUGUGAAGAUGCAAUAUUAAUAGUAAGUAGACGGAAAGACCCUGUACACCUUUACUAUAACACGGGAUUGUACGUUUGUUGUGUUUAUGUAGAAUAACUCUUAUGCUUAUAACUCACGUUACGCAAGUAACUUUGAUGAGGCGUCGAUGAAAUAAGAGUUUUGCGGAACAAAUCUCUGUAUAGUCACAUAAAAAAUCCAGUGUGGUUAGUUUAACUGGGGUGGUUGUCUUCUAAAAUGUAACGAAGAUGUAUAAAGGUAUAUUUUGAAUUUAAUGGUAAAAUUAUGCUUAACUGUGAGAAUUACACUUCGAACAGAGACGAAAGUCGAUCAUAAUGAUCCAAUAGUGCUGUGUGGAAAGGCUAUUGCUCAACGGAUAAAAGGUACGUCAGGGAUAACAGGCUAAUAAAUCUUUAGAGUCCAUAUUUCCAGGUUUGUUUGGCACUUCGAUGUCGACUCAUCACAUCCUGGAGCUGCAGGAGGUUCCAAGGGUUGGGCUGUUCGCCCAUUAAAGUGGUACGUGAGUUGGGUUUAGAACGUUGUGAAACAGUUCGGUUCCUAUCUUUUACUUAUUUUAGAAUAAUAAAACUAUAUCCCUCGUACGAGAGGAUUGGGGUGUGUAUGUCACUGGUACUUCAGUUAUUUUACUAAAUGGUAAGCUGAAAAGCUAAACAUAAAUUUAGAAUCGCUGAAAGCAUAUAAGCGAGAAAAUGUUUUUUAUUUAUUCUAUUUCUCUACUGAUAGAUUAUCAGCCCCUUAUAAGAUCUAAAGCUAGUAAUGGAUGGUCUUUGUAAUUGGGAAAAAUUUGAUUUUUGUAUUUUUAUUUUUU
rnacentral:rRNA from 1 species